GGGUGGAUUAGUGGCGAACGGGUGAGUAACACGUGAGUAACCUGCCCUUGACUCUAGGAUAAGCCCGGGAAACUGGGUCUAAUACUGGAUAGGAACGUCUACCGCAUGGUGGAUGUUGGAAAGAAUUUCGGUCAUGGAUGGACUCGCGGCCUAUCAGCUUGUUGGUGAGGUAAUGGCUCACCAAGGCGACGACGGGUAGCCGGCCUGAGAGGGUGACCGGCCACACUGGGACUGAGACACGGCCCAGACUCCUACGGGAGGCAGCAGUGGGGAAUAUUGCACAAUGGGCGAAAGCCUGAUGCAGCGACGCCGCGUGAGGGAUGACGGCCUUCGGGUUGUAAACCUCUUUCAGUAGGGAAGAAGCGAAAGUGACGGUACCUGCAGAAGAAGCACCGGCUAACUACGUGCCAGCAGCCGCGGUAAUACGUAGGGUGCGAGCGUUAUCCGGAAUUAUUGGGCGUAAAGAGCUCGUAGGCGGUUUGUCGCGUCUGUCGUGAAAGUCCGGGGCUUAACCCCGGAUCUGCGGUGGGUACGGGCAGACUAGAGUGCAG
rnacentral:rRNA from 1 species